rnacentral:lncRNA from 1 species
AAGUUGGGGAAAUCUUAUCUUCUAUCAUGCCCCCGCAAGAUGGUGCUCCUAACAAGGAUACCAAUCUUGGAUCGAUGCAAAGAAUGGUUUACAAGCGAGAGGCUUCAUGAGUAAGAUAAGUGUAGAUCGCUGCUGCUGCUGUGAUUGCUGUUGUUGUGAUGGCACAGGUGUUCCCUUCAUUCUCCUUAAGUCUGCCGAAUGUUGACAGAUCAGCGAAGACUACCGCGGUGAGGAAGAUGAGGAUUGACCACGGAGCCUCUUAGGAUUGCAACGGCAUUGAUCGCUAGCCGAAGGGUGAAGCUUCACUUUCCUCAGCGACGUUGGUCGCUGGCUGAAGGCAAGAGCGAAGCUUCGCUUUUCUCAACGACGUUGGUCGUGGUUGCGAUUACGACGGCUGCGACGAUAGAGAAGAAAUCUACAGCAAUGUUGCAGUGAUGCUACUACAGCAAAGGAGGAAACUGCAACAGAGGAGGAAGCUGUAGCAGAAGAGGAAGGAAAAUAACUACAACGAGGAAGAAAGGUGGGGCAGUGUUGAUGAGCGCAACACUAGAGAUGCCGUAGCGGAAGGGAACGUACGUUGGCGCAAAGUGGCAACACCAAUGAUGAAUUGGCAGCGAGAAGAGAGCUUGCUCUAGGCAAGCGGCUCUGAUACCAUGAUAGAAAUAAUAGAAGAUAAGAACAAUAAUUGAAGAAGCUUUAUUGUAGAAAUGAAAUAGCUUUAGCUUGAAUCUAUUAACAUAUUCCCUCUCCUAUUUAUACAGAUUAGGAGAAAGGAUUUCCCUCAACAGAAUAAACAGAAUAGAGAGAUAGAGAGAUUUCCUCAUAUAAUUGGGGAAAUCUUAUCCUCUAUCAAGUUGGGGAAAUCUUAUCUUCUAUCA